UACGGAGGGUGCGAGCGUUAAUCGGAAUUACUGGGCGUAAAGCGCGCGUAGACGGUUUUGUAAGUCAGAUGUGAAAUCCCUGGGCUCAACCUGGGAACUGCAUUUGAGACUGCAUGGCUAGAGUAUGGAAGAGGGAAGUGGAAUUUCCGGUGUAGCGGUGAAAUGCGUAGAUAUCGGGAGGAUCACCAGUGGCGAAGGCGACUUCCUGGUCCAAUACUGACGUUCAUGUGCGAUAGCGUGGGGAGCAAACAGG
rnacentral:rRNA from 1 species